GUUUGUGUGAUGUAGUGGUUUGAGUGUUGGACUACAACUCUGGAGACCAGGGUUCAAUUCCCAGCUCAGCCA